UACGGAGGGGGCUAGCGUUGUUCGGAAUUACUGGGCGUAAAGCGCACGUAGGCGGCUACUCAAGUCAGGGGUGAAAGCCCGGGGCUCAACCCCGGAACUGCCCUUGAAACUAGGUAGCUAGAAUCUUGGAGAGGUCAGUGGAAUUCCGAGUGUAGAGGUGAAAUUCGUAGAUAUUCGGAAGACCAGUGGCGAAGGCGGGUCUCUGGACAGUUCCUGACACUGAGACACGAAGGCCAGGGGAGCAAACGGG
rnacentral:rRNA from 1 species